UCGGAUCUAGUGGCGGACGGGUUAGUAACGCGUGGGAACGUGCCCUUCUCUGCGGAAUAGCCACUGGAAACGGUGAGUAAUACCGCAUACGCCCUUCGGGGGAAAGAUUUAUCGGGGAAGGAUCGGCCCGCGUCUGAUUAGAUAGUUGGUGGGGUAAUGGCCUACCAAGUCUACGAUCAGUAGCUGGUUUUAGAGGAUGAUCAGCAACACUGGGACUGAGACACGGCCCAGACUCCUACGGGAGGCAGCAGUGGGGAAUCUUAGACAAUGGGGGAAACCCUGAUCUAGCCAUGCCGCGUGAGUGAUGAAGGCCUUAGGGUCGUAAAGCUCUUCCGCUGGGGAAGAUAAUGACUGUACCCAGUAAAGAAACCCCGGCUAACUCCGUGCCAGCAGCCGCGGUAAUACGGAGGGGGUUAGCGUUGUUCGGAAUUACUGGGCGUAAAGCGCGCGUAGGCGGAUCAGAAAGUUGGGGGUGAAAUCCCAGGGCUCAACCCUGGAACUGCCUCCAAAACUCCUGGUCUUGAGUUCGAGAGAGGUGAGUGGAAUUCCAAGUGUAGAGGUGAAAUUCGUAGAUAUUUGGAGGAACACCAGUGGCGAAGGCGGCUCACUGGCUCGAUACUGACGCUGAGGUGCGAAAGUGUGGGGAGCAAACAGGAUUAGAUACCCUGGUAGUCCACACC
rnacentral:rRNA from 1 species